GAACGCGAAGAACCUUACCAGGUCUUGACAUUGAUGGACGAAACAAGAGAUUGUUUUUCUCCUUCGGGAGCCAGAAAACAGGUGGUGCACGGCUGUCGUCAGCUCGUGUCGUGAGAUGUUGGGUUAAGUCCCGCAACGAGCGCAACCCCUAUCUUAUGUUGCCAGCACUUCGGGUGGGAACUCAUGAGAGACUGCCGCAGACAAUGCGGAGGAAGGCGGGGAUGACGUCAAGUCAUCAUGCCCCUUAUGACCUGGGCUACACACGUACUACAAUGGGCUUUAAUAGAGGGAAGCGAAGCCGCGAGGUGGAGCAAACCCCAGAAACAAGCUCUCAGUUCGGAUCGUAGGCUGCAACUCGCCUACGUGAAGUCGGAAUCGCUAGUAAUCGCAGGUCAGCAUACUGCGGUGAAUACGUUCCCGGGUCUUGUACACACC
rnacentral:rRNA from 1 species